AUGUUCAUUGGUCUAUUUUCUGCCAAUGCAUCAAGCUCGACCAUCGGCACAGAAGAUCAAAUGAGCAAGCUGUUUUGCCCGGCGAUGGCAAUGAUUUGUCCGAAGAUGGCGGCGAAAGCAGUAGUACGUUGCAUUUUAUCUCUUAUAUUCAGGGUCUUGUUUGUAAAAAGAAAGGAUGUGAUUAUAAUAUUUUUUUAUUUGAUUAUCUUUUUUGUAGUGUUGUAUCACCUUUUGAUAUUACAACAGCCUCGGGGACCUUCUGGUCCCUUCCUGUGUUAUAAAGGAAAAAAAGUCCAGCACGUGGUGCAACCAAUGAAUUAUUUGGCGUGUUGUUCUUGGUCACGUAUGCAUUUGCAUGGCGCCCAUUCGACUGACAAAAGAUAG
rnacentral:rRNA from 1 species